rnacentral:rRNA from 1 species
UUGGAGGGCAAGUCUGGUGCCAGCAGCCGCGGUGAUUCCAGCUCCAAUAGCGUAUAUUAAAGUUGUUGCAGUUAAAAAGCUCGUAGUUGAAUUUCGGGAUCAGCAGGUUGGUCGUGCCUCUGGUAUGCACUGGUUUCGCUGAUUCCUCCUUUCUGAAGAACUGUAAUGUCAUUAAUUUGGUGUUGCAGGGAAACAGGACUGUUACUUUGAAAAAAUUAGAGUGUUUAAAGCAAGCUAACGCUUGAAUACAUUAGCAUGGAAUAAUGAAAUAGGACGUUUGAUCCUAUUUUGUUGGUUUCUAGGAUUGACGUAAUGAUUAAUAGGGAUAGUUGGGGGCAUUAGUAUUCAAUUGUCAGAGGUGAAAUUCUUGGAUUUAUUGAAGACUAACUACUGCGAAAGCAUUUGCCAAGGAUGUUUUCAUUAAUCAAGAACGAAAGUUAGGGGAUCGAAGACGAUCAGAUACCGUCGUAGUCUUAACCAUAAACUAUGCCGACUAGGGAUCGGAUGAUGUUAAUUUUUUAAUGACUCAUUCGGCGCCUUACGGGAAAC